rnacentral:rRNA from 1 species
ACUCGAGUGGCGAACGGGUGAGUAACACGUGGGUGAUCUGCCCUGCACUUCGGGAUAAGCUUGGGAAACUGGGUCUAAUACCGGAUAGGAGCCGUCUUUAGUGUGGUGGUUGGAAAGUUUUUUCGGUGUAGGAUGAGCUCGCGGCCUAUCAGCUUGUUGGUGGGGUAAUGGCCUACCAAGGCGGCGACGGGUAGCCGGCCUGAGAGGGUGUACGGCCACAUUGGGACUGAGAUACGGCCCAG